GACGAACGCUGGCGGCGUGCUUAACACAUGCAAGUCGAACGGAAAGGCCCUGCUUUUGUGGGGUGCUCGAGUGGCGAACGGGUGAGUAACACGUGAGUAACCUGCCCUUGAUUUUGGGAUAACUUCAGGAAACUGGGGAUAAUACCGGAUAGGAGCUCCUGCUGCAUGGUGGGGGUUGGAAAGUUUCGGCGGUUGGGGAUGGACUCGCGGCUUAUCAGCUUGUUGGUGGGGUAGUGGCUUACCAAGGCUUUGACGGGUAGCCGGCCUGGGUGGGUGACCGGCCACAUUGGGACUGGGAUACGGCCCAGACUCCUACGGGAGGCAGCAGUGGGGAAUAUUGCACAAUGGGCGGAAGCCUGAUGCAGCAACGCCGCGUGCGGGAGGACGGCCUUCGGGUUGUAAACCGCUUUCGCCUGUGACGAAGCGUGAGUGACGGUAAUGGGUAAAGAAGCACCGGCUAACUACGUG
rnacentral:rRNA from 1 species